UUGAGUCACCGGUUGGUUUAACGAGACCGGGAUUGAUUCGUCAUGCCGUUAUCGUCUGUUUCAAUGGGCGCGUUCGAAUUGUUUUGAAAGCUCGGAGCCGGAGAUAAAUUUGAUCAAGGGGUUUAAAAAGGAUGCCGAAAGAUUUAAGACAUGGAAGAAUAGUGUCGCCUUAAUCUGGACAACCUGGUCUCUGUUAACUUUGGACACAGGAACUUAGCAGUAGAGAUGGUUGAACAGGAGCUGCUGUUUGAUGGAAACAGAGAACGAAAACCUACCGGCCAUGYCGGAUAUUAUCAACAAGGAACAUGGAGAAGGAAAGAAGAGAACAGACAAACUGCCUGAGAGGACAGAUAGAAACAGGUAGACAGACGGAUGGACGGAUGUGUGUAUGACAUCUGUCCUGUAUUCUGUUACUGGUUGUUUUCAGAUGUGUUUCAUAUAAUAAAUAACAAUUGAUUGGA